UGAAAAUCUUGAUUAUUCUUUUCAUAGUGAUCAAAAGAUUACCAUAACACAUUGUCAUGAUCCUCAAAAACGUAUGGUUUAGUAGAAAUUGUAGUUUGCUUUAUACUGUAGUUUACCUUUGAGAGUAUCCCAUUGCCUCUCUCUAGGACUACGCCACAUAAUCAUCCAGAUGGAUAGGUUAUUUCCCAAUUUGGUCUCCAGAAAGGUAUUAGAGAAUUUAUACAGCUAGUUCCUUAUCGAGGGAGUCAUUGUGUGCUGUAAAUUCUCAACUGAUCUAAUCUACUCUGUGGUCAUGAAUUCUGAUGAACAGGGAGACACUGCCUUUAAGAAAACAUCUACAGUAGGCCUACUGUCAAAACAAGUUAAUAUGGAAACAUAUAAUGACAUAAAUGAUGUAAUAUUUUAUUAAAUUCCAACAGUUAAUGAAAUGAUUAGAUUUGCUUGUAAAUUCUCAACCAUCUUUAUUGCAAUAGCUUUUCUACUCAUCAGCUUUUCUCCAAAGACAUUUUGGUAGGCCUACAUUUCUACAUAAUACCGUACAUACAGCUG